rnacentral:lncRNA from 1 species
ACAUCUUAACCACUGGGGAAAAAGUGUCAGUGAAAUCAAUACCUUCAACCUGAGUAUCACCUCUAAUCACAAGCCUAGCUUUAUGCCUUUCAACAGAGCUAUCAGCCUUAUAUUUGAUCUUAUAAACCCAUUUGCAGCCUAUGGGUUUUUUACCAGGAGGAAGAGGAACAACAUCCUAGGUAUGGUUGGCAUCCACGGCAUCAAACUCCUUUCUCAUGGCAUCCUGCCAUACUGGAACAGAUGCAGCUUGAGAGUAAUAGAGAGGUUCAGAUUCCAGAGAAGAAGAAGAGGAGCCAGAAAAGGCAGUAAGUUGACAGACAUAGUCCUUAAGAUGGAGGAUUAUGUUGUCUUCCAGAUUUUCUGGGAGCAGGAGCAGAUGUGGAAGAAGGCAAAUUAUGAGGAGAGGUAUCAGGAUUGAAGGAAGGAAUGGAGGCUGGAUUAGAAGAAGAAGAAGUGGUAGCAGAAGGAGGAGGAGGAGAAGAACAAACAUGUAUCAACAAGUCAGUGUCAGAGAAGGAACUAAGGGAAAUGGGGAAGGAACAGGAGAUGAAACAUUCUUAAAUGGAAAAGAGGUUUCAUGAAAUACAACAUCCCUGGAAACAAAGUAUUUCUUUGAAGUAAGGUAAUAAAGUUUAUAACCUUUUUUGGCAAAAGGAUACCCAAUGAAGACACAGGAAAGGAUUCUAGGUUUCAAUUUGUCCCUUUGAGGAAUUGGAACAGUCGCAUAGGCAAGGCACCCAAAAGCUCUCAAUGGGCUCUAGGUUUCAAUUUGUCCCUUUAAGGAAUUGGAACAGUAGCAUAGUCAAGGCACCCAAAAGCUCUCAAAUGGGAGUAGGCUGGUGCCUUUCCAUGUAAAACUUCAAAGGGAGAUUUAUGAUGAAGGAGUCUGGAUGGUAGUCAAUUAAGGAGAUAGGUGGCAGUUAGUAAGCAGUCCCCCCAGAAAGAAAUUGGUAGGCCAGAUUGAAAAAGUAAGGCUCUACAUGUCUCAAGAAGAGUCCUAUGUUUCCUUUCCACAACACCAUUUUGUUGGGGACUAUGAGGACAGGUUGUUUGGUGAAUAAUCCCCUGAUUGCUAAAGAAAGAAACACCCUCAAUGCUAGACCCCAGUUCCAAAGCAUUAUCACUUCUAACAAUUUGAACCACAGCAUUAAGCUGAGUUUUAACCAUAUACAGAAAUGAUUUAAGCAUGCAGAAGGCAUUGCUUUUAGAUCCCAGUAAAUGUGUCCAGGUAGCCCUAGAGAAAUCAUCAACACAAAAGAAGAUGAACAAGCAGUAGAGGAACUAAUAGAGGAAGAAGGGGAAGCUGGAGCCCAGGCAAGCUUGUAUAAACCAGCCUCCUCUCUACCAAGAUCCAGAGGCCUCCUCAGAGAAGGGUCCUGUAUCAUGUGGAGGAAGCAGCAAGUUGGAGUGAACAAAAAACUAUGCAAUGCAACUGUUUUACUAACUUGUGGACAUAAAUCAAGUUGUGUUUAAAGGAAGGAACUAACAAGACAUUUUGAAAUGUGAUAGUUGAAUUUAAUGCAAAGGAUCCUGUCCAUGUCACUUUCACUUUACAUCCAUUAGGGAGAGUUACAAUGUAGGAUGUAGUUAAAGGUGUUAUGUUGAAGAGUAAACUUUUAUCAUAUGUCAUAUGAUUAGAUGCCCCUGAGUCUAUUAUCCAGGUGGCAAAAUUAAUAUGGGUAAGCAUGUAAAGCUUGGAAUCAGAAAUAGGGCUCUCAGUUAGCAUAGUACCAGCAAAGUUAGCAGCAUACAUGGGAGGAGGAGUCUGAGCAGUGGAGUCCCUUAACUGGGUCUGUUGUAACAAGCUCAUCAAUUGAUCAUACUGUUGUAUGCUCAACCCUGGUAUCACAGAACUCUGGUCAUCUAUGUUUGUAACAGAUUGAUGGCUUUCAGGAGGAUUCCCUUGGGGAACAGACACAUGUCCUUUAGAAGAAGGAAAAUCCAAACCAGCAGUAAGAUGAGCAGCAGCAGGUCUCCUCCCCUUGUUAAAUGUUAUACUUUGUGGAUACCCAUGAAUCUUGAAACACUUAUCAAUUAAGUACCCAGAUUU